CAAACGGCCCUUUUCAGGGCCUCCGAACUUUUCAAACAGAGUUAUU
rfam:Aedes aegypti strain Liverpool supercont1.19 genomic scaffold, whole genome shotgun sequence.